rnacentral:rRNA from 1 species
UACGUAGGGGGCAAGCGUUGUCCGGAUUCAUUGGGCGUAAAGAGCGUGUAGGCGGCCAGGUAGGUCGGUUGUGAAAACUGGAGGCUCAACCUUCAGACGUCGACCGAAACCAUCUGGCUAGAGUCCGGGAGAGGAGAGUGGAAUUCCUGGUGUAGCGGUGAAAUGCGCAGAUAUCGGGAAGAACACCCGUGGCGAAAGCGGCUCUCUGGAACGGUACUGACGCUGAGACGCGAAAGCGUGGGGAGCGAACAGG